rnacentral:tRNA from 1 species
CCGCGGGUUGGUGCGGAUUGCGCCGGGCGCGGAGAACGCGCGCAACUAUUCGCAGUGCGACUCCAUGCUGGUGGGC